UCUACUGUUCCAUGACCUGAACACAAGUCACACUGUUCCUCCUGGUUCAAUAACUGGUUGGAUCGCCUUCCCAACAUCCUAAGGUCAACUUUUCCAUAUGGAGUCUCAUGUAGUAGCAAAUUCAAAAACAGGCUGUAAUAAUGAGCACUAAACAGAUGCAGUGUCAUAUGGCACAAUAUGCAAAUGUGUGAAUAGACUUUAAUUAACCGACUCACCAUGGGUAAAAAUGACCUUCUCAAUGAGCCUCACACAAAGAACCAUGCACAAGAAUCAGUGAAACGUGUGAACUACGUGUGUCUCUUGAAUACAGAAUCAAAACCACUUCAUAGAAAGCAAAGGAACCUGUACACAGAUACUAUCACUCCUUCCAUUAACGUUUAGGCUUGAAGGUUGGAUGUCCCCCUUCUUACACUCAACAUCUCUCUGCAAUUAAUCCACAUCAUGUCCUACUGGAGGGUCAGGGGAAGCCGGUCUGCAUCUGUUGGUGAGUUGGCCAAGUGCCAGGACAUCGUGUUCCUAAUUGUCCCUAACAAAAAAGGGCCUGAGAAUAUGAAGCAAUCGUUGGACAAACGCCAGCCCUGGAAGAUGCACUAAAAGUCUGCUGCCUUUAUCUCAUUGGCAUAAGUGCAGCACAAUUAAAGCAUUUUUUUCCUGCAGGGAAACUGGAAGAAAGUCAAAGAAAGAUGACUAAUGCAUUUCACAUUUAAACACAUUUUCUUCAGAGCAAUUAACAGAUUAAAACUUAGCAAAUCAAACAUAUUUUUAAAGAGAAAAAUACACCAGAAAGCUUAUAUAAACUGCUAAACUCUAACAAAGAUUAUGGUUUUUCUUGUGCUUCUAAUUUUCAGCCAAUUAAAUUAGAUCAAUUUUGCAAUAAUCAUACAUAGAAAUAAUCAUUUUUUUUAACAACCAUCAUGUAAAAAAACCAUCAAACCUCACAAUUUGACCUGCCAGUGAGACAAAUCACUCUGAUAAAAGGAAAGUUUAACAUAUGUAUUUAGGCAAGGAAGCAGUUGGUGCCAAGAGAUAGUAUGAGAUUGUUAAAACUGGUUUCCAUGGAGACAAUUUAUUGCGACUUUAUGGAUAGCAGCGGUUACAUAACAAAAUGUUAGAAAGUCAGUGGCUAAGGCUGUAGGUGACUGGUUAUAGAGAAAGAUGCUGAGCAGCUCUCAGCUGUCAGGGAUGGAUGGACAAAUGGGAGGAGGUCAGGAAUAGCUGGCUGUCAGAUGAUGGGGUCAAGUGUCAGCAGCUAAAAUAGAUGGCGGCAAAGCAAUUGAGAUCAAUUGCUGAUAAUGGACUCGGAGACGUUUCUGGAGGCGUGUCCAAAACUCACAUCACUCCAAAGUGUUUCAUCACAGCCCAGUAGGUGUCCUCCAGUGUUCCCGUCUUUUUGAAGGUGACGACGUUGGUCAGGGGCUGCAGGACAUUUCGGAGAGGCUCCAGAUCCACAGAGAGUUUCUAAAGAAACAGCAAAGACACAGUCUGGAACCUUGCUGACUUCCUGGUUGUGGGUUUGAUCCCCACAGGUGAGUCCACCCACCUUCCAGUGAACAUGUUUCACCAGAAACUGACACAGCUCCAGGGUUCUAACCAGCUUCUCUUUGGCCACUUUGCUGUCACUGACCUGCUCCAUACUCUGGAAAACAGCAGCAGGAGGGUUAAAUUAGCUCAGAUUUAACAGAUGCACUAAAUAUUUAUGUGUGAAGCAAAAGCCUUUGAAAGUUCAAAUCUGCAGUUUUUCUGUAUUCUUUCACCAUAAGGUAAAGCAAAAAUCUGAAGAUUACAGGACAGAGGAGUUCUGAUUUUAGUUCAGGAGAAAAGACAGGAGAGGUGGAGGAUUUACGGAAGCAUGUAAUUACCCAUGUCUUCACCUCCCUCUCUCUGGAGGACACGAGGAGGACAGCGAGAAGAGCAGUGCCUCCAAUUAUCAUUUAUCACAGCACCAUGCAAUCUCAUAAACUUUCCAGAUUAAUAUAAUUAAACUGCAAACAGGCCUAAAGUAUGCACAUGUAUUAACAUCCCUGCUUAAAGCAGGGGACACGACGUGCGGCUGCAGCCUCGUGCACACGGAGAAAACCGAUUUCAAUCUGUUCCACAAGGAGGGUUUGGCAGAAUUAGAACUGAGGCUGGGAACAGGAAGUGGAUGGAAAACAAAAAACAAAGGAGGAAAUGAGUGAAAGUAAGAUGUCCUUCAUGGCAGACAGUAAUGAUUUUGCCUGUGUGUGUGUGUGUGUGUGUGUGUGUGUGUGUGUGUGUGUGUGUGUGUGUGUGUGUGUGUGUGUGUACUUACUGCAGCCAGCUGCAGCGUCACCUGCUCACAGAGCUUUGUCCACUUUGCGCCGCUCAGAAUCUGCUGGACAUCUCUGCUCUGCAUGGCUCUGAGCACCAACACACACGCCUGACCCUGAACACAUACACAGAACGAGACUCCUAAAGCCUGAUGAGUGGAGUGCAAACCCAACACGCUACUCCGCCAAAAGCUUUGCAAAGUCUCAAGCUUCUGCCAAAGCUCUGAUUGGAUAUUCUGCCUCUAAAAAUAAAGACUAACUUCAUGUCUCCAUAUUUAAUUUCAUCAGCGAUAAAUAUUCUGAUUCCAAGAAUCUUUUUCUCAUUUAUGUUUUAAUCAAAGCUUUUGUACCUGCUGAUGUUCCCGGACUCCAGAUGUGAUGUGCUGCACAGCUGUAUCCAACAGAUUCACACAUAAAACCUGAACAAAGCACCAAGUGUCACUAACUGCUCUGUGGUGACUAAACUUUACAGCGUGAGACGAGGGUCUGCACUCACGGGGAAUCUGCAGAACAAGUCGGUGAACAUCUGAGAGGUCAGGGGGCUUUUCCUCCGACUCAUGAAGGAGACCAGAGCGUCUCUGAAGAGGCUGGAGACCCGAUCCACAUCCACAUUACCCAUAAACCUCGGCUGCAGACAGAAGACGGGAAAGGGUAUGCGUGAAAUUCAGAUUUUAAUACUGUUUAGUAGAAACUGUUCAUGCAUUGACAGUGGGAGCUGUUAUUAACUGAAGUGCAUAAAAAAAUAAAAUCUAAAACAUGUCUGACAAACACAUAAAGGACACAAACCACUGUCUAAAGAUCACACACUAGUUUAAUGCUGUGUGUUGAUGCAAGUGUAACCAGAACGAAUUUCAACAAAAAUGUUAAAGCUGCUGCCAGUGGCUUACUAGGAUCACCAUGGUAACCGCCAGCACCAGUGAAAACGUGAAAAACUGCAAAGGAGUCUGGAGGUGACUUAGUUCUUUUAGCGUUUCUUAAGUUUUUUGUGCAGAAUUUAUGACAAAUUUUCUGUUAGGAAAAGAAAAAAAAAUGUUAUGAAGAAUUUGUCGUCUGGUUAAGGGUGUGGCUUCUGCACUCGGAGGGGAUUUAAGUAAAAACUUUCAGUCCUAAAGAAAGAAAAACUCCUCAGUUGUGUUUCUGGAGGCUGUCUAAAAGAUUUUUGAAACAUAUUCUGUUUACGCUGCCGAUGUAUCUGAAGUUAUAACACACCAUUCCUGAUUAGGUCGCUUGUUUUUGAAUUAGAAACAAGCUGAAAGUCAGAGAAGGUUAAUGGAAUGAAUAGUAAAAAGGGACGCCUCGAUGCUUAAUUGUCAUCUUUAUUAAUAAAACUGAUUUAUUUUUGACUGCCAUAAAAAAGGUAAAUAAAAUAAAAUUCUAACCACAUUUUAAAUAUAUUUAUUUUUCCUUUUUAAUCUGUAAAUAUUUUUUUAUCUUAUAUUAAAUGUUAAAAUGAACCCUUGCUGCAGCUUUAGGACUUCAUAAUAUUUAAAAAUUAAACUAACCCUAAAACAAGAUGCAAAAUCACGAUGCAGCCAAUCAGUAUCCUCUAAACACAACAAAUGUCAUUUCAUUUCCAUACAUCGUGGAAAUGAUCCCAAAAACACAACCGUAAGCAGAUUUUCAACAGUAUAAAAGGUUUAUUCAUGUCUAAAAUGUCAGGUUGAUGAAUUCUUCAAAACCCGGAGAAAUAAGAGCUGACAGCCUCAGCUGGUAAUAAACUAAUUAGCUUCAAGCUUUUGAGAAAAUCUGUUUUUUUCCUGCCAGAUUGAUGUCACUUUUCCUUUUCAUGAGAUGUUCUUCCAAAUAAUUCGAUGCGCUUUUUGAAAACAACGGCUGACAACAGCUAGCCCUUCGCAGCUGUGAAGUAACCACGGAGACGUGUUUGUGACGUUUCUGUGCGUAAAUAAACUCAGAUUUCUGCCUUCUAACUGACUUUUUAUAAAAGCAGAUUGGGGCGAGUAAUUAGCUGGAUCAUCUGGUGUAAUUUUAUUUGAAAUAGAUACGUCUUUAAUGUUUUUUUCUCUUUAUUUAUGAUCUUAUCUUUUCAAAGUAAAAUGCUUGUGCAGAGAUGUGCUGUAAAGGAGGCCCAGUUAUCCAGGACAAGUCCCGACCCGAUAAAAAUUAAAGGAACAGACCUGGAUUGAGUCUGCUGCAGGGCUGGACCCAGCGCCCACACUUAAAUACUCAGUCACCUCCAGUAAAAGGACUUUUGUGUGAUUUGUUUUGUGCAAAGCUGUAGGAAUGAGGUGCCAUGUGAGUAAUCUGAUUCCUCUCUAAACUGAUCAAAGCUCAGCGGCCUCCCACCAUGAGGAGGCGAAGACAAGUGGAACCUCACGAGUGUGCAAACAUACGUCGUUAGCUGCUGCUCCAUCAGCUAUCCGUGCCUCCUUGGUCUCAGCAGGUGGAGCUCCUCGCAGCACUUUCACCAAAUAAAGAGACGCACUAAAGGAUUCACACACACAAAGAGCCUUGAUUCUGCUUUCUGUUCACUUCAGAGCCCCAUCACGGGUGAGAAAGUUCAGGGAUGUGUUUUUUAUCUUCAGCUCGGACAUCAAACCGUAACAUUUUACCUGAAGUAGUAGAGACACACGGAGGAGUCGCUCAGCUUCAGAGAUUUACUCAUCAGUUUGUCCAGCAAGUCGUGCAGCUCCCCCUGUCUGUCUGCGGCGGUCCUGCAGUACACUUUGGAUCGACACAACUGGUUCCUACAAAAAAAGGCAUCUUUAUUAGAAAUAAUUAAAUAACAAAUUAUAUGUCAGUAAUGUGUUCAAGUGUUCCUGUUGACUUAUAACAGUGCUCACAGCUGGGAAUAAUAACCAUCUUCUGAUUCAAAUACUUUUACAAAACUACAAAAUAAAUAAAUAACAGCGUUUCUUAUUUUAUAACAAUAAAACAAACAAACUGCACUGAUGUCUGAUGUUUGAACUGCUGAGAGCUGCUGGUGCUGAUCUAGCUCUGACAAUUAGCAAUAGUUUUUUUGCUAAAUCGAUCGUGUUGAAUAUUGUCCGACCCUUUGGUGAAUCUAUGCUUCUACUGUGUGCGGUUCUUUGGUUUUCACCUGAAGAUGUCUGCUGCUCUCCGGAGGAAGUCCUGCUCCUGCUGCUCGCUGCCGGAGCUCAUCCCUCUGUCGAUCAUGUUGAGCAGAGGCUCCACCAACCCGAUGAUGAGCGGGCUGCCAGCCUGCCGGGCUACGAACACCUCCACCAGGUCCAACACCUGAAACACACAAACGGCGCCAUUAGAUGCCCCGUCCUGACUGGCCCCGAGCAGCAGGAGCGUUCCUCAAACACACACCUUCAUCCUAAAAUCUCGGACCAGUGUCUUCUCCUUCUGCAGUUUGGUCUUCUCAUCUUUCUUGGCCUGAAUCUUCUUCUUCUGCUCUGAGAACAGCGUUGACAGGCUCUGGUCCAGCUUCAUCAUAGCAUCGUCGUCUAAAUCUUCAUCGCUGCUUGCGUCCUCCUCAGUGGCCUGAGUGUGACGCACGGCAGAUGAGCUUAAGUUAUCUUUGUUUCUCCUUGAAACAAUCAGGAAGAGAUGAACUGAAACCGACCAGAGCGUUCUGCUGCUGGAGAACCUUCAUCAGCUCCAAACGAAAACUUUGGUCCACCUCCUCCUCCACUGCUUCAUCUCCAUCAGAGUCUUCAUCCGAUCCAGCCUCGCUGUCGCCCUGGAAACCAAAGUAAAAUCUGCAUCAAAUGUUUGAUCUAAAUCUGUAAAUUGUGAAGCCGCAAGAGUGUAGAGGAAGAAGACCUCCAUCUCCUCAUCCUCGUCCUCCUCAAGUUUCCUCUUCGGUGUUUUGUCUGCAUCGUCAGUGACGACUACAGCACUGUCCUCCUCGUCCUCCUUAUCGGGGUCCAACACCUGCACAGAGCCCGGAACGCAGGCACGUCAAAAACACGGCGGUGCUCCAUCAGAACUGUUUUAGCCAUCGGCGCUGAGCCCACUUACGUCCAAGAUGGCGGUGAGGGCUGCCGCCGUGACGUGGGGGCAGAUGGAGGCGAAGACCGUUUUGCAGACCUGCCUGAUGAGUCGGUUCUGUUGGGACAAAAGGGACAACAAGAUGUCCACCAUCACCUCCACCCACUCUGGCUCAUCCGUCUCCCCUGUGAGGGACGAAAUAUUCAAAACCGUUAAAUAAAAAUGUCUUUCCCUGAAUAUUAUCCAUGUUCUUGCUUCUUAUGAUGAAAAUAAGUGGAAAAAAAAACUUUAUUUGGGAAAGAAAGAUUAAACAGCAUCAGUGUGUCUCACCUUCUUUCUUUUUCUUCUUCUUGGUUUUUUUCUCCUGAGCUUUAUCCACACAAUUCUGUAAGUCCUUCAUGAUGUCCAGGAGCUCGUCGGGGGCCUUCAGGUCAGACAAAAAGUCUAUUCAUUUUGGUUUCAAUGCACAAAAUACUAACAGAGAAAAAGCACAACCUUGUUUGUGAGGUUUGUAAUAUUUGCAGAGAAAAUUCAGACUUUUUCUCUAAGCAGCUCAGUGUUGCAGUAAGGUGGCGUGUACCUUGAACAGAUGCAUCCCGACCAGCAGGAACAGCUGCUGGAAUGCGCCGCUCUCUGCUGUUGUGCCUUUUUUCCUCAAGUUCUCCACCGACUCCAGCAUGCUGAAAAACAGCAAUAACAAUUUCCUGCCUUCACAUCAACAUAAAAUCUCAACUAUAUCAUCACAUUUAACCGAUAAGUAAUCAGAAAUGUGAAGCCUGAGUGUCCCCUCACCUGUCCCAGGCCUGUCUCUGCUCAGGACUGAACGGAUGGACUCUGUGAACGUGUUUUGGAUGGUUUAGAAGGAGCUGGGCAUACUGAACCAAGCGGUAAAUCCACAUGGUGCCAUCAGCUGUUACGCCGAGCACCCGUCUCUGAUUGACGGCCGUGCCGUCGUCGCUAGGUGGCAUGUGGUGCAGCGACAUGAGGAGUC